GGAAGAAAAUACAGACACCUCACUAGAACAGUCACACCUGCUGGAAAAGUCAUACCUGCUGAAAUACUAGACCUGCUGUAAGCCCUGAGGAUGGUUUCUCACUAUAAGAGAAAAGUCCUGAACUCAAAGAAUCCUAACUCCAGAGCUAAUACCAUUUCUUAAUGACACCACCAGAGACAUAUUUAUGGCACCUACUGACAAGAUGCCAAUCAAUCAUGGAGAACAAAUGACCAAGGAAGAAAGUUCUUUGUACUACAAGCAAAAGAACAUUUUUGCCCAUCUCUAAGCACUGUCUCAGCCACAGUAGU